GGUAGUCCCUCGAAUAGUCACCCGCUGGUGUGCGUUUCUUUACAUAACGUAAUGAAUAGAGGGACUAUAAUUU
ncrna:Gardnerella vaginalis 1500E DTF3800-IX RNA